rnacentral:rRNA from 1 species
UCCAGACUCCUACGGGAGGCAGCAGUGGGGGAUAUUGCACAAUGGGGGGAACCCUGAUGCAGCGACGCCGCGUGGGUGAAGGAGCGUUUCGGCGCGUAAAGCCCUCUCGGCAGGGAAGAAGGAGGACGGUACCUGACUAAGAAGCCCCGGCUAACUACGUGCCAGCAGCCGCGGUAAUACGUAGGGGGCAAGCGUUAUCCGGAUUUACUGGGUGUAAAGGGGGCGCAGACGGCAGCGCAAGCCAGGAGUGAAAGCCCGGGGCCCAACCCCGGGACUGCUCUUGGAACUGCGCGGCUGGAGUGCAGGAGGGGCAGGCGGAAUUCCUGGUGUAGCGGUGAAAUGCGUAGAUAUCAGGAGGAACACCGGUGGCGAAGGCGGCCUGCUGGACUGCGACUGACGUUGAGGCCCGAAAGCGUGGGGAGCAAACAGGAUUAGAUACCCGCGUAUGC